rnacentral:rRNA from 1 species
AGAGGGUGGGCUUUCUUCCUGUUGUGUGCGGCGGUCGGGUGAGUAACACGUGGGUAACCUGCCUGUAAGACUGGGAUAACUCCGGGAAACCGGGGCUAAUACCGGAUGGUUGUUUGAACCGCAUGGUUCAAACAUAAAAGGUGGCUUCGGCUACCACUUACAGAUGGACCCGCGGCGCAUUAGCUAGUUGGUGAGGUAACGGCUCACCAAGGCAACGAUGCGUAGCCGACCUGAGAGGGUGAUCGGCCACACUGGGACUGAGACACGGCCCAGACUCCUACGGGAGGCAGCAGUAGGGAAUCUUCCGCAAUGGACGAAAGUCUGACGGAGCAACGCCGCGUGAGUGAUGAAGGUUUUCGGAUCGUAAAGCUCUGUUGUUAGGGAAGAACAAGUACCGUUCGAAUAGGGCGGUACCUUGACGGUACCUAACCAGAAAGCCACGGCUAACUACGUGCCAGCAGCCGCGGUAAUACGUAGGUGGCAAGCGUUGUCCGGAAUUAUUGGGCGUAAAGGGCUCGCAGGCGGUUUCUUAAGUCUGAUGUGAAAGCCCCCGGCUCAACCGGGGAGGGUCAUUGGAAACUGGGGAACUUGAGUGCAGAAGAGAGAGUGGAAUUCCACGUGUAGCGGUGAAAUGCGUAGAGAUGUGGAGGAACACCAGUGGCGAAGGCGACUCUCUGGUCUGUAACUGACGCUGAGGAGCGAAAGCGUGGGGAGCGAACAGGAUUAGAUACCCUGGUAGUCCACGCCGUAAACGAUGAGUGCUAAGUGUUAGGGGGUUUCCGCCCCUUAGUGCUGCAGCUAACGCAUUAAGCACUCCGCCUGGGGAGUACGGUCGCAAGACUGAAACUCAAAGGAAUUGACGGGGGCCCGCACAAGCGGUGGAGCAUGUGGUUUAAUUCGAAGCAACGCGAAGAACCUUACCAGGUCUUGACAUCCUCUGACAAUCCUAGAGAUAGGACGUCCCCUUCGGGGGCAGAGUGACAGGUGGUGCAUGGUUGUCGUCAGCUCGUGUCGUGAGAUGUUGGGUUAAGUCCCGCAACGAGCGCAACCCUUGAUCUUAGUUGCCAGCAUUCAGUUGGGCACUCUAAGGUGACUGCCGGUGACAAACCGGAGGAAGGUGGGGAUGACGUCAAAUCAUCAUGCCCCUUAUGACCUGGGCUACACACGUGCUACAAUGGACAGAACAAAGGGCAGCGAAACCGCGAGGUUAAGCCAAUCCCACAAAUCUGUUCUCAGUUCGGAUCGCUGUCUGCAUACUCGACUGCGUGAAGCUGGAAUCGCGAGGAAUCGCGAUCAGGAAGGCCGGACGGGUU